AGUUUGAUUCUGGCUCAGAUUGAACGCUAUGGAACAUGCAAGUCGAACGGCAGCAUGACUUCGGUCUGGUGGCGAGUGGCGAACGGGUGAGUAAUGGGACUGGAGCGUGCCUAGUAGCGUGGGAUAAUUACGCGAAAGCAGCCAAUACCUCAAGGCUGCCCUUUCGGGGGAAAGCGGGGACUCUUCGGGCCUCGCACUAUUAGAGCGGCCGAUAUCGGAUUAGCUAGUUGGUGGGGUAACGGCUCACCAAGGGCGACGAUCCGUAGCUGGUUUGAGAGCACGACCAGCCACACUGGGACUGAGACACGGCCCAGACUUACGGGAGGCAGCAGUGGGAAUUUUGGACAAUGGGGAAACUUCGAUCCAGCCAUCUCGCGUGUGCGAUGAAGGCCUUUCGCUGUAAAGCACUUUUGGCAGGAAAGAAACGGCACGGGAUACCCGUGCAACUGACGGUACCUGCAGAAUAAGCACCGGCUAACCAUUACGUGCCAGCAGCCGCGGUAGGUGCUGCUAACUGGAAUUACUGGGCGUAAAGCGUGCGCAGGCGGUUCGGAAAAAGGAAGAUGUGAAACCCAGAGCUUAAUCCUUGGAACUGCAUUUUUAACUACCGAGCUAGGAGGCGUGUCAGAGGGAGGUGAAUUCCGCGUGUAGCAGUGAAAUGCGUAGAUAUGCGGAGGAACACCGAUAUGAAGGCAGCCUCCUGGGAUAACACUGACGCUCAUGCACGGAAAGCGUGGGGAGCAAACAGGAUUAGAUACUCCUGGUAGUCCACGCCCUAAACGAUGGGUCAACUAGCUGUUGGGGCCUUCGCCUUGGUAGCGCAGCUAACGCGUGAAGUUGACCGCCUGGGGAGUACGGUCGCAAGAUUAAAACUCAAAUGAAUUGACGGGACCCGCACAAGCGUGGAUGAUGUGGAUUAAUUCGAUGCAACGCGAAAACCUUACCUACCCUUGACAUGUCUGGAAUCCCGGAAGAGAUUUGGGAGUGCUCGCAAGAGAACCGGAACACAGGUGCUGCAUGGCUGUCGUCAGCUCGUGUCGUGAGAUGUUGGGUUAAGUCCUGCAACGAGCGCAACCCUUGUCAUUAGUUGCUACGAAAGGGCACUCUAAUGAGACUGCCGGUGACAAACCGGAGGAAGGUGGGGAUGGACGUCAAGUCCUCAUGGCCCUAUGGGUAGGGCUUCACACGUCAUACAAUGGUCGGGACAGAGGGUCGCCAACCCGCGAGGGGGAGCCAAUCCCAGAAACCCGAUCGUAGUCCGGAUCGCAGUUCGCAACUCGACUGUGAAGUCGGAAUCGCUAGUAAUCGCGGAUCAGCAUGUCGCGGUGAAUACGUUCCCGGGUCUUGUACACACCGCCCGUCACACCAUGAGGUUUACCAGAAGUAGUUAGCCUAACCGUAAGGAGGCGAUUACCACGGUAGGAUUCAUGACUGGGGUGAAGUCGUAACAAGGUAG
rnacentral:rRNA from 1 species